GUCGAACGGCAGCGGGGGAGCUUGCUCCUGCCGGCGAGUGGCGAACGGGUGAGUAAUGCAUCGGAACGUGUCCUGUUGUGGGGGAUAACUGAUCGAAAGAUCAGCUAAUACCGCAUGAGACCUGAGGGUGAAAGCGGGGGAUCGCAAGACCUCGCGCGACAGGAGCGGCCGAUGUCUGAUUAGCUAGUUGGUGAGAUAAAAGCUUACCAAGGCGACGAUCAGUAGCUGGUCUGAGAGGAUGAUCAGCCACAUUGGGACUGAGACACGGCCCAGACUCCUACGGGAGGCAGCAGUGGGGAAUUUUGGACAAUGGGGGAAACCCUGAUCCAGCCAUGCCGCGUGCGGGAUGAAGGCCUUCGGGUUGUAAACCGCUUUUGUCAGAGACGAAAAGGGACGUACGAAUAAUACGUUCCGCUGACGGUAUCUGAAGAAUAAGCACCGGCUAACUACGUGCCAGCAGCCGCGGUAAUACGUAGGGUGCAAGCGUUAAUCGGAAUUACUGGGCGUAAAGGGUGCGCAGGCGGCUGUGCAAGACAGAUGUGAAAUCCCCGGGCUUAACCUGGGAACUGCAUUUGUGACUGCACGGCUAGAGUUUGUCAGAGGAGGGUGGAAUUCCGCGUGUAGCAGUGAAAUGCGUAGAUAUGCGGAAGAACACCAAUGGCGAAGGCAGCCCUCUGGGACAUGACUGAC
rnacentral:rRNA from 1 species